UACGUAGGGUGCAAGCGUUAAUCGGAAUUACUGGGCGUAAAGCGUGCGCAGGCGGUUUUGUAAGUCUGUCGUGAAAGCCCCGGGCUCAACCUGGGAAUUGCGAUGGAGACCGCAAGGCUUGAAUCUGGCAGAGGGGGGUAGAAUUCCACGUGUAGCAGUGAAAUGCGUAGAGAUGUGGAGGAACACCGAUGGCGAAGGCAGCCCCCUGGGUCAAGAUUGACGCUCAUGCACGAAAGCGUGGGGAGCAAACAGG
rnacentral:rRNA from 1 species